rnacentral:rRNA from 1 species
CCUACGGGAGGCAGCAGUGAGGAAUAUUGGUCAAUGGACGAGAGUCUGAACCAGCCAAGCAGCGUGAAGGAUGACUGCUCUAUGGGUUGUAAACUUCUUUUAUAUGGGAAUAAAACGUUCCACGUGUGGGAUUUUGUAUGUACCAUACGAAUAAGGAUCGGCUAACUCCGUGCCAGCAGCCGCGGUAAUACGGAGGAUCCGAUCGUUAUCCGGAUUUCUUGGGGUUAAAGGGAGCGUAGGCGGGUUGGUAAGUCAGGUGUGAAAGGUUGUGGCUCAACCCGUAAAUUGCAGUUGAAACUGGAUGGUUUGAGUGCAGGAGAGGUAGGCGGAAUUCGUGGUGUAGCGGUGAAAUGCUUAGAUAUCACGAAGAACACCGAUUGCGAAGGCAGUUCACUGGACUGCAACUGACGCUGAGGCUCGAAAGUGUGGGUAGCAAACAGGAUUAGAUACCCGAGUAGUC